rnacentral:rRNA from 1 species
GGGCAACCUGGUGGCGAGUGGCGAACGGGUGAGUAAUGCAUCGGAACGUGCCAUUGAGUGGGGGAUAACGUAGCGAAAGUUGCGCUAAUACCGCAUAUUCUGUGAGCAGGAAAGCAGGGGACCGCAAGGCCUUGCGCUCUUUGAGCGGCCGAUGUCAGAUUAGCUAGUUGGUGAGGUAACGGCUUACCAAGGCGACGAUCUGUAGCGGGUCUGAGAGGAUGAUCCGCCACACUGGAACUGAGACACGGUCCAGACUCCUACGGGAGGCAGCAGUGGGGAAUUUUGGACAAUGGGCGCAAGCCUGAUCCAGCCAUGCCGCGUGAGUGAAGAAGGCCUUCGGGUUGUAAAGCUCUUUCGGCCGGGAAGAAAUCGCAUGGGUUAAUACCCUGUGUGGAUGACGGUACCGGAAUAAGAAGCACCGGCUAACUACGUG